AUGUGAGAUGAUAACGUGCCCAUGUGAUGAGAGGAAGUGACGUCAGGGCAGGCUGCCGUGGACCUUCUGAUGCUCCCUCGGAAGGAGGGUCAUCUGUUUCCGAGCCACCGUUGACCACAGUCUAACCCAAGAUACUGCUGGCUUACUUAAGACGGGGGAACUUUCUCCGAGUAGAGUGGCAUGUCAAGAUAAAGAAGGUCGCGCCAGUCUCCGGUUCUCCCACUUUGUGCAGAAGAUGGCGUAUUUUGAAAUUUCCCCGGGUUCGGGACUCGGGGUUGGGAGUGAGGAAAAACACAUCUCGUUUGCUGAACGGCCACGCUCACUGCACACAGCCCUGCCUGCCAGGGAGAUGAGGCACCUCCAUUUCACAGUUGCGGGAAGCACGGCUCGGGCUGAUUAAGGGCGUGCCCAAGGCCAGAGACAAACACGGGUGGUAAACUGAGGUUUCUCCCUGCGUCCUCAGGCUCCUCUUUCCAGCGUACCACACUGCCUUUCUUGUAAACACGCAGCGGAUCUGAGGGUGGGACAGAGGGAAGACGAGAGACAGACGGGGUGGGCUUCUGGCUGCCUGGUUUACCAGCCUCUACUUUGAGCACCUCUAGCAACCCCCAGGUUCUUAGAGUUCUCCAGCACCAAGGAACGAGCCCGGAGUCCUCAUCUCCCAAGGGCAUGUCCGAUUCAACCACUAGCAGUCAGCAAUGUUACAGAGCAUUUACAAAAUGUAAGAAGUAGUUUAUCAGUUGUCCAAUCAGACCGUGUGGAUCUGCUCCUUACGAUUAGAAGGUGGCCCAUAAGAUGCUGUGGCUCUGGGGUGCCUGGGUGGCUCAGUCGAUUGGGCGUCCGACUUUGGCUCAGGUCAUGUUCUCACGCCCCGCAUUGGGCUCUGUGCUGAUAGCUUGGAGCUUGGAGCCUGCUUCAAAUUCUGUGUCUCCCUCUCUCUCUGCCCCUCCCCCACUCACACUCUGUUUCUCUCUCCUUCAAAGAUAAACAUUAAAAACAAUUUAAAUUAAAAAAAUUUUAAGAAACUGAAAAGCAGAGAA